rnacentral:rRNA from 1 species
AUUGAACGCUGGCGGCCGGCCUAACACAUGCAAGUCGAACGAGUGGCGGACGGGUGAGUAGUGUCUGGGAAACUGCCUGAUCGAGGGGGCUAACUACUGGAAACGGUAGCUAAUACUGCAUACCAUCAGAUGUGCCCAGAUGGGAUUAGCUAGUUGGUGGGGUAAAGGCUCACCAAGGCGACGAUCCCUAGCUGGGCUGCGAGGAUGACCAGCAACACUGGAACUGUGACACGGUCCAUACUCCUACGGGAGGCAGGAGGGGCGAAUAGUGAACAAUGGGCGCAAGCCUGAUGCAGCAAUGCCGCGUGGAUGAAGAAGGCCUUCGGGUUGUAAAGUACUUUCAUCAGUGAGGCUUUACCCGAAGAGGAAGCACCGGCUAACUCCGUGCCAGCAGACGCGGUAAUUC